rnacentral:rRNA from 1 species
GGAAUAUUGGACAAUGGGGGGAAACCCUGAUGCAGCGACGCCGCGUGAGUGAAGAAGUAUUUCGGUACGUAAAGCUCUAUCAGCAGGGAAGAAAAAUGACGGUACCUGACUAAGAGGCCCCGGCUAACUACGUGCCAGCAGCCGCGGUAAUACGUAGGGGGCAAGCGGUAUCCGGAUUUACUGGGUGUAAAGGGAGCGUAGACGGCUGUGCAAGUCUGAAGUGAAAUGCCGGGGCCCAACCCCGGAACUGCUUUGGAAACUGUACAGCUAGAGUGCAGGAGGGGUGAGCGGAAUUCCUAGAGUAGCGGUGAAAUGCGUAGAUAUUAGGAGGGACACCGGUGGCGAAGGCGGCUCACUGGACUGUAACUGACGUUGAGGCUCGAAAGCGUGGGGAGCAAA